rnacentral:rRNA from 1 species
CUACGUAGGUGACAAGCGUUAUCCGGAUUUACUGGGCGUAAAGGGCGUGUAGGCGGUCUUGCAAGUCAGAAGUGAAAUUCCUGAGCUCAACUCGGGCGCUGCUUCUGAAACUGCAGGACUUGAGUGCUGGAGGGGAUAGCGGAAUUCCUAGUGGAGCGGUAAAAUGCGCAGAUAUUAGGAAGAACACCGGUGGCGAAGGCGGCUAUCUGGACAGUAACUGACGCUGAGGCGCGAAAGCGUGGGGAGCAAACAGGAUUAGAUACCCUGGUAGUCCACGCCGUAAACGAUGAGUACUAGGUGUAGGGGGUAUCGACUCCCUCUGUGCCGCAGUUAACACAAUAAGUAUUCCGCCUGGGGAGUACGGCCGCAAGGUUGAAACUCAAAUGAAUUGACGGGG